rnacentral:rRNA from 1 species
GAUAGGUUAAGUUAUUAAGGGCGCACGGCGAAUGCCUUGGCACUAGGAGCCGAAGAAGGACGGCACUAACACCGAUAUGCUUCGGGGAGCUGUAAGUGAGCUUUGAUCCGGAGAUUUCCGAAUGGGGGAACCCACUACGUUUAAUCGCGUAGUAUCUUGA